rnacentral:rRNA from 1 species
GACGAACGCUGGCGGCGUGCCUAAUACAUGCAAGUCGAACGAGAGCGACCGGUGCUUGCACUGGUCAAUCUAGUGGCGAACGGGUGAGUAACACGUGGGUAACCUGCCCAUCAGAGGGGGAUAACAUCCGGAAACAGAUGCUAAAACCGCAUAGGUCUUCGAGCCGCAUGGCUUGAAGAGGAAAAGAGGCGCAAGCUUCUGCUGAUGGAUGGACCCGCGGUGCAUUAGCUAGUUGGUGAGGUAACGGCUCACCAAGGCCGUGAUGCAUAGCCGACCUGAGAGGGUGAUCGGCCACAUUGGGACUGAGACACGGCCCAAACUCCUACGGGAGGCAGCAGUAGGGAAUCUUCCGCAAUGGACGCAAGUCUGACGGAGCAACGCCGCGUGAGUGAAGAAGGUUUUCGGAUCGUAAAACUCUGUUGUUAGAGAAGAACAAGUGCUAGAGUAACUGUUAGCGCCUUGACGGUAUCUAACCAGAAAGCCACGGCUAACUACGUG